rnacentral:tRNA from 1 species
GUGUAGCUCAGUGGAAGAGCACUAGCCUGCUAUGCAGAGGUCCUAGGUUCUAUCCCUAGCAC